GAGCUCUGUGAUAGAUAACACUUCCAUACACUUUAAAUCUGGGUGAAGCAGAACUCAGAGAAGGAUGAUUUUAGGACACUGUAUUUUAUUUGUACUAAUUUCAUAUUGUUAUGGACAGUCCCUGACCUCCUCUGCUUCUGUGGUGAAGAGACCUGGAGAGUCAGUCACUCUGUCCUGUACUGUCUCCGGAUUCUCAAUGAGCAGCUACUGGAUGCACUGGAUCCGUCAGAAACCAGGAAAAGGACUGGAGUGGAUCGGAUACAUUGAUGGUGGCACUAGCACUGGAUUCUCUCAGUCUCUGCAGGGCCAGUUCUCCAUCACUAAAGACACCAACAAAUCAUGCUGUACCUAGAAGUGAAGAGUCUGAAAGCUGAAGACACGGCUGUUUAUUACUGUGCACGACACUCACACUGACACAACAGACUCCAGAGCUGUACAAAAACUUACACAAGCACGUCCUCAUGAGCUGUAAAUAUUCCCUCAGCAGGAAGCUGAACCCCAGACACAUUUAUUAUAAACAACAUCCAUUCAUUUUAGUGCUCAGUUUUAUUUCCCCUUUUGUCUUACUCCAUUAACAGUCAAAAUUCCUCUGUAAAAUUCAUGAGCUGCCCUUUUCUUCUUCUGAUAUCCUCUGUGUCCUGUGAGUAAACACGUCUC